UACGAAGGGAGCUAGCGUUGUUCGGAAUUACUGGGCGUAAAGGGCGCGUAGGCGGCUUGAUAAGUUUGAUGUGAAAGCCCUGGGCUUAACCUAGGAAUAGCAUUGAAUACUGUCAGGCUAGAGGCCGAGAGAGGGAAAUGGAAUUGCGAGUGUAGAGGUGAAAUUCGUAGAUAUUCGCAAGAACACCAGUGGCGAAGGCGAUUUCCUGGCUCGGUACUGACGCUAAGGCGCGAAAGCGUGGGGAGCAAACAG
rnacentral:rRNA from 1 species